UAACCCGCCUAAAAGUGGGUUAAAGUAAUGAUUUAUGUCCUUUUCUUAUCAUUAUUUCUUUUAAUUUCAUGAUUGUGAAUACUUGUGUGUUUUUAUUUUGAAAACCGGGACUUUAUUUGGUAAAACCGGAAGUAAUGCGCAAAGAUACCUGCAGUAGCUUAACAUCGAAAAUGCGCAAACGAGACUCUGGUGUUGUUUCCCUCGUGGAAACAGGAGAGUGAGAGAAAAAGAAGUUGGAGAGUCUCCGAAGAGCCACCUUAACUGUUCCAGACUCCUCUGUAGAAACCCCCAUUGGUCAGGUCUUUUCAUAUUGGUUGGAAAAAAAACUUGAUGAAGCUUCAGUCCUUGUGUCGACGAGAUUAACCAGCGAGCAGUAGAUGGCGAGCCUCCCAGCAGAACUCUGAUCAUCAUCGCCACAUCCUUCAGCUGAGGUUGUGGUAGGAUUGUGCCAAUCCCAAGAAUUGACACCAACAGGAGCCACACUGAAUACACUCUUGACUUGACUAUUUUACCCUGACUUAUCUGACUUGAACUUUGGAUCCAUAACAAACAAUUCUGAACCAAAACCUUUGGAAGGACAAUUUAUUUUAUUUUAUUGUUAAAGGGCCCAUAGGCAUUGUUAUUUGUGCACUGUUCAAAUAAUUUUAGAACUAAACGUUGUUUUUCGUAACCUA